rnacentral:tRNA from 1 species
GCGUCAGUAAUCCAAUGGCUAAGAUUCUGCCUUCCCAAGGCAGGUAUCCGGGUUCAACUCCCGGCUGACGCA